CCUUACAGAAAACGACAUCAAAUAGAUGCAAGAGGGACCAAAGCGAUGACGUGUUCUUACGUCUAAUGAAACUACGACCCCUGCUGGCUUGGAGUGUGAAGUGUGCGACACUUAUUCUUUACGGUUUACUUGGAUUUACAUCUUCUUUAAACAAACGAUUUCAAGGUUUAAAUGUGCAUUGAUUUGGUAUCACGAGAACUUUGCGAUAUGAUGAAACAGUUCCAAAGUUGGUUUCCAAAGUCAUACACAUCUGCGGCUUCCGUUCUGACAUCAGAAUAUUAUUCAAACCCACGUUGUCUACCAAAACAUCAGGGCGGCUGGAUUCAAGUAAAUGUACAUUUUGCAUUCAUAAAAAUAAUCUAUAGUAUUAACAAUCUACAUGAACUGUCAGUAGUUUUCAGAUGUUUCCGAAAUGAUAAACUAUCCUAACCGCUAUCCCAAGGACGAGGGAUUUGUUUGACACGCAGGCUAACGUCAACGGUGUAAUAGUGUUUAGGCUUUCUAGGAUGACACAGAUUAUCUCUCUGUAACUACUGACCCAGCUACCUGCAAUCUAGCUACAUUGAUAGUGGACAUUGAUUAAAGUCAGUUAAUUCUAGCUAACCAACUACUUUAAUAUUUUUCCUCAGAACUGCUGAGCCCUUGGAAUACCACAGGAGUUUUCUGAACACGAUGCCCUGAACAUGAUAGUAACUUUAGGGGAACUGUUAGCUGCAGAAAGAGAACUGCCGGCCUGAUGGAAGGGAACUGGGGGAAUUCAGAACCACUACAUUGAAUAUAGUUCUGCCGUGAUACAGAGAGAGUUAUGCAUUGUGAAGGGAAAGGGGGGCACAUCAUUAUCGGGUGAGAAGCUUCUGGACUAUCAGCCGGGCCACGACGAGACAGAGAGAUCUGCAAACUCAUCGACAAAGUCCUACAGAGCGUCAAGACACCCGAAUAAACACACACACACAGUUUAUUUUUCUUUAAAAAGUUGUAUUUUCCUGUCAAUAUAUAGUUUCUUCUUUAUCGCAAUAAAACUGCUGACAAAGACCAUUAA